UCUGUCUUAUCUUGGGAGAUGGAGUCGUUGUAAUACUGUGCAGUUUAUAUAGGGGGCUCUUAAGGAGAGAGUGGACUUCCAUUCGAUUAAGGCAGUACAAUUAUUACUUUUCAGAAUUUUUUUUAUUUUUUAUUUUUUGCUAAAUUGACUUUUCAGAAUUUUUGCAACAUCCUAUUGUGAAAGCUCCAACAUUAUUCCCU
rnacentral:lncRNA from 1 species